rnacentral:rRNA from 1 species
AGUCGACGAACUUCUUUAUCACCGAGUGCUUGCACUCACCGGUAAAGGGUUGAGUGGCGAACGGGUGAGUAACACGUGGGCAACCUGCCCAAAAGAGGGGGAUAACACUUGGAAACAGGUGCUAAUACCGCAUAACCAUAGUUACCGCAUGGUAGCUAUGUAAAAGGUGGCUAUGCUACCGCUUUUGGAUGGGCCCGCGGCGCAUUAGCUAGUUGGUGGGGUAAAGGCUUACCAAGGCAAUGAUGCGUAGCCGAACUGAGAGGUUGAUCGGCCACAUUGGGACUGAGACACGGCCCAAACUCCUACGGGAGGCAGCAGUAGGGAAUCUUCCACAAUGGGCGAAAGCCUGAUGGAGCAACGCCGCGUGGGUGAAGAAGGUCUUCGGAUCGUAAAACCCUGUUGUUAGAGAAGAAAGUGCGUGAGAGUAACUGUUCACGUUUCGACGGUAUCUAACCAGAAAGCCACGGCUAACUACGUGCCAGCAGCCGCGGUAAUACGUAGGUGGCAAGCGUUAUCCGGAUUUAUUGGGCGUAAAGGGAACGCAGGCGGUCUUUUAAGUCUGAUGUGAAAGCCUUCGGCUUAACCGGAGUAGUGCAUUGGAGACUGGGAGACUUGAGUGCAGAAGAGGAGAGUGGAACUCCAUGUGUAGCGGUGAAAUGCGUAGAUAUAUGGAAGAACACCAGUGGCGAAAGCGGCUCUCUGGUCUGUAACUGACGCUGAGGUUCGAAAGCGUGGGUAGCAAACAGGAUUAGAUACCCUGGUAGUCCCACGCCGUAAACGAUGAAUGCUAAGUGUUGGAGGGUUUCCGCCCU